UACGUAGGGGGCAAGCGUUAUCCGGAAUAACUGGGCGUAAAGGGUGCGCAGGUGGUUUAACAAGUUAGUGGUGAAAGGCAUAGGCUCAACCAAUGUAAGCCAUUAAAACUGUUUAACUUGAGUGCAGGAGAGGAAAGUGGAAUUCCUAGUGUAGCGGUGAAAUGCGUAGAUAUUAGGAGGAAUACCAGUGGCGAAGGCAACUUUCUGGACUGCAACUGACACUGAGGCACGAAAGCGUGGGGAGCAAACAGG
rnacentral:rRNA from 1 species